ensembl:lncRNA
GGAAAAAUCAUAGGCGUAUCAGGCCUUUGGAAUUCAACAGUGCGGCUGAACCUAGGCCCUUUUCAGUGGCCUAAAGACCAGUCUCAGUCUUGCCUCACUCUCAGUCUUGCCUCAUCAGACACCGAGGAAUGUAUUAGACCAAACAGUGCUGAACUGUCAGUUUGAGAGUAAUAUUAGAGGUCUUUUCUCUCUCCAUCAUGUGGAAGCCAUCAUUGCCAUGAGAGAAAUAGAAGAAGGAAGGAAUUAUUCCCAGCUGGGAGAAGCAAGGAGUGCUUCCUGGAGGAAGUGGCAUCUAAACUGGACUUUGAUUAUGGUGUGGCUGGAGAGAAAGAGACUCAGCUCCCAUAUCUCCUCUUCUGUGACUAUUCGCUGUCCUCUUCGUGGCCAUCCAGCAGCUCUGCGCUCCAGGUUUCCUAUUCCGCUUUCCCAUGACACUCUGUCCACCCCUUCAGCCCUGGCCACAUUGUGCAGAGUCUACAUGUGUCAGUAACAACACCAAUGGUAACAGAGGAUACAGUCUCCAGAGCUCCCAGGACCAGCUGGAUUUUCCCUGCAACACUCCAUCACUUCCGUCAGAGAGCCCUGGACUGCAUGACCAAAAAGACCUUUUCUCUAGUGAAGAGCGUGGAGCCAGGCUGCCUGGGUUUGCAGCCUGGUUCUGCCAUGUAUCCAGCUGGGUGACCUUGGUUGGGAACAUUACCAGCCUCUCCGUGCCUCCGUUUUUCUCUUCUGGAAUAUGGGACAAUAAUCCCACCCAUUUCAUAAGUACUAUUAAAACUACCAUAAACCACCUGAGAAAAUGGAGGUCCCUGAGGCUAAGAGGAGAGGCUAAGAGCUAAGACGGAGGUUCAGUGAGUCAAUGAUAUGCGACACACUUAGUGCUUGGCAUAGAGGCGGUGUUCCAUACAGGCAUGCUUACUGUAUUCAUUUUAGGUGUGAACUCAGGAGUUUCCUAUGUCUUGGCAACUGUGUUGGAUAAAUGAGCAGAUUUUCCCAAGGUUCCUCCCAGUUCCAGCAUCCUCUAGUCUCAGCUGUCACUCAAUGGCCUGAGGGCAGGGCAGGACCCUUGGGCGGGGCAGGGGGUGGGCUCACCUCAGGGCAGCCCCAGCAGCAGCACAGCCUCCAAGUCUGUCUCGGGCACCCAGCACACAGAUGUUUCAGGUUAAAGCCUGUGACUGGAAAAACCAUCCUUCAAAACAACUUACUUUUAAACUUCUAGUACAUGAAUUAGAUCUUAAAAAAAAAAAAACAGAGAAGAAGAAAGAAAAGAAAAGGCAAAGUAACUGAUCUGUUUUGUGCCAGAGCUGUUUGGUCUCUCCAAACACUUAGUCCAGCCGCUCUCAUUGUCUGGGAUCAAAGCGUCUUCCCCACAGGCUGGCUUUGUUCUACUCUGAGUAGAACAGGCUGAAAGGAGAGCUCCUCCAGGCUUCCUGCCUCCCUCCCCCUGAACUUUGAGGGAACAAAGAGAUUUACAAGGCAAGGAUCCCAACUACAAGGUGCUAAUGAUCAGAAUCACACGUGUGCAGGUCUGGACGAGUGUUCCCAAGUCACAAGCCUUCCGGAAGGGGGAAGCGCUGCUGGGAGGAACCAGGAGCAGGCGGGCAGGGACCCAGGGCACCUGGGUCUGCCUCUUGGAAGGCAGAGCACUCCCACUCUAGGAGCAUCUCAUCCAGGAAGGAUGCCUGAUCCCCACGGAUACUCAGGGGCCUCUCCGGCUCCAGGGAUCAGGAGGCGCCACCCGGCAGAACGGGUCCCCUCUUGUGCAGCCCUGGGAAGUUAUUGUUUAGUCUCAGUCUGUGCCGGCAGUGGCAAAGGGUUUGCUGAGAAGGACAGAACACGGGCUCCGGAAGGAGUCCUGUUUAGCAUGAAUCAGAAUCACCUCCAGGGCUUGUUGAAAUAUAGAUUGCUAGGCCCCAGGCUCAGAGUUUCAGAUUCAGUAGAUCUGGGUAGAGCUUGGGAAUUUGCAUUUUGACAAGGUCCCAGAUGCUGCUGGUUUAGGGACCAUCCUUGAUGGCUGCUGCUCUGUACAACUUAUUCUCAGGUUGAGACACAGAAAACCACUCAAGGCCAGUUAUGGUCUCUUAUCUCAGCCUCUGGAUGCUUCUCCCCAAGGAUCCCGAGACCCUAUGAGCAAUGAAGCCGAGUGAGCGCUCACUGCCCACCUGGGUGACUGUUCUCCUGGGUACACACCAUGUCUCUGGGUCAGGGUGGAAACCUCGCAUCAGGGUUCACUGGAUAAUGUUGUGAAAAGCAGAAGGCAGCACUACGGCCAGCCAGAGCAGGAGACACUGCUAAGUAGACUCUCUGGCUCCUGCAAACCCACAUAGGAGCUGGGUGGCCAUGGCCAAGUCACUGAAACUUCACGAGGCUCUGCCUACUUACUGGAGAAUGAGGAAUGGUAGAUGACUCCUCCCCGAGUUGUUAGAGAUGCUGGAACCCAUAUACCACUCACAUCAGGCUCUGUGAUAACGUGAGUUUAAAAGACAACCUAAUCCGAGUGACUGAUCUGAUCUGAUCUGAAUCUAAGUGACCUGCACUUCAGUUCAGUUACUCAGUCAUGUCUGACUCGUUGCAAUCCCAUAGACAGCAGAACAUCAGGCUUCCCUGUCCACUACCAACUCCCGCAGCUUGCUCAAACUCAUGCCCAUCGAGUCAGCGAUGCCAUCCAACCUUCUUAUCCUCCGUCAUCCCCUUCUCCUCCUGCCCUCAAUCUCUCCCAGCAUCAGGGUCUUUUCUAAUGAGUCAGUUCUUCAUUAUCAGGUGGCCAAAGUAUUGGAGUUUCAGCUUCAGCAUCAGUUCUUCCAAUGCAUAUUCAGGAUGGAUUUCCUUUAGGAUUGACUGGUUUGAUCUCCUUGAAGUCCAAGGGACUCCCAAGAGUCUUCUCCAACACCACAGUUCAAAAAGCCUCUCUCACCUAAACACUUUCUGUCCUUUCUGUGAGCUCAGCUUUUGCCUGCAAUCCCUAUGGCUGAUUGCUGAUUCAUGUUGAUAUACGGCAGAAAGCAACACAAUAUUGUAAAGCAAUUAUCCCCCAA